CUGCUCUGUUCCUGAUGAUGGCUGGGAGUGGAACUGUGAUGUACACCAUGAAUUGGAAGCUGACUGUCACACCAUGGCAGCAGGGACCAGCACAGAGGCAGUGCUGCCCACAGACAUAGAGAGCCCUGAGUGAGGAGAGAGCUGGGAAGGUCUCGGCUGUCCACUGGCAAAGGACAAUGGAUCUCCAAGGGGUGCAGCCGGCUGAUGGGUGAUGGCAUGGAUGGAGGAUCUGGGCAGACUGUCCUCUCACAGAUGGAAAAACCGAGGCCAAGCUCCGGAGGGUCAGUGGAUGGUCUGAGGCCACACAGCACAGCAAGGGUUUGCAUGGAGACCGCCCUGCCCCUGGGCUAUCCAGACUGGAGAGAGCCCCACCCGGCUCCUGGCAGAGAAAAAGGCCUAGGAAGGGGACCUGAGCCAAGAAGCACAGGAGGCGAGGGGGACUGUCCUCCACUCAGACAGCAAACGCUUCCUGACGCCUCCAUCACCACCCAAGCAGCUCAACUAGGUAAUUUCCCAAGGUCGAGUUCUCUCCCUGCAAAGAAUUCUGGGGCCUGCUAUAAGGAUAAUUAAAUGUUCUCCACUUCACUUCGUUCCUGCACUCCUUCACUCAUUCCAUGCACUCACUGGAUUCCUAGGGCUCCAAGGCACCUGUUAGAAGCUGGGGAGCCAGCAAUGAAUCAGGACCCGAGAAGCAGCACAAAGGGCAGGUGCUGAGGCCACGGGGCCCCUCCUCGGGAAAGCCUGGCCCAACACCCUCCCUACCCUGAGCUCCAUCUUAUGGCGCGGCUGUCCAUCUGUCUCCACUGGCCUACCACUUCUGUGGGCCCAGUGCAGGAGCCACCCACAGCUGUAGCUGAACAGCGUUGUUUGUCAAAGGGGGUGACAGCACCAUUUGGGUGAAAAGCUUUAUAAACAGCAUGGGUUCACGCACAGGCGAAGGGUCAUGAGAGUGUGCACUUAGGCUGGCUGGGUCCGGGGGGCAGGAGAGGGGUCAGCCCAGGGCAGCGGUGGUGU
rnacentral:lncRNA from 1 species